UGCAGUUUAAUUUUUUUUUUUUACUAUAUUUCUAGGACUGACUGAACUUCAAGGCAUUUGAGGUACCCCUAGAAAUUGUCCAAUUGAAGGGAAAUUUUGCACAGGCUGUUCUUUUGUCCAUUGGAACAAAAUAAGAGGUUUAUAGUUCUGCAAGAGAUUUUGAAUCUUUUGGCCAAGCUUAAAAAGACAGUAAAAAGCUGAAAAGAGAAGCGAAGUUGCUACAGGAAAAGUUGGAGAUGAAUGUGAUGUCCAAGAAAGCUCCCAAGUUGCAAGCUGCAAUUGGCGAUAUUAAUGCUGCAGAACAUGAAUUUGUUUUGUGUCUGUCAAGCAUUAAUGGUUUGAUGCAGUUAAAAGUGAUGCAUUCCUAGUGUAAAAAUUAAGUACUUACAAGCAGAGACUAAUGCCAUUAGCCAUUAAGUCAGUAAAGUGCUAGCUGGUGCUGCUGAUUGGAACUUGCAUCUUUCUAGAAAAAUCGAAAAAGGAUACUAGACUUGCAA